UCGGACCGGUGUCACUGUGGUCCUGCUGUCUCUGAGACCAGAUCAAUGUCACUGCGGUCCUGCUGUCUCUGAGACCAGAUCAAUGUCAGUGUGGUCCUGCUGUCUCUGAGACCGGACCUGCGUCACUGUGGUCCUGCUGUCUCUGAGACCGGACCGGUGUCACUGCGGUCCUGCUGUCUCUGAGACUGGAUCAAUGUCAGUGUGGUCCUGCUGUCUCUGAGACCAGAUCAAUGUCAGUGUGGUCCUGCUGUCUCUGAGACCGGACCUGCGUCACUACUGUCUCUGAGACGGGAUCUGUGUCUCUGCGGUCCUGCUGUCUCUGAGACCGGACCGGUGUCGUUGCGGCCCUGCUGUCUCUGAGACCGGACCGGUGUCGCUGCGGUCCUGCUGUCUCUGAGUCUGGAUCUGUGUCACUGCGGUCCUGCUGUCUCCAAGACCGGACCGGUGUCACUGCUGUCCUGCUGUCUCUGAGACCGGACCGGUGUCGCUGUGGUCCUGCUGUCUCUGAGACCGGACCUGUGUCACUGCUGUCUCUGAGACUGGAUCUGUGUCACUGCGGUCCUGCUGUCUCUGAGACCGGACCGGUGUCACUGCGGUCCUGCUGUCUCUGAGACCGGACCGGUGUCGCUGCUGGAACGGGAGCUGCUCUCAGUCAGAGCUGAGGGAGAGAGAGGAGCAGGAGGGAGAGAGGGAGAGAGGCGGUUUGUUCAGAAGGUAGCUUUAUUGGGUGAAGAGCUCCCUGCCCACACGCCCGCAGUCGCCUCUCUCUGCCGGUCCCGUUACGGGACAGUCCGGUGUGGGGAGGGGGAUCUGUACAGCGCGACAGGGCGGGGCGGGGCGGGGCGGGGGGCAGGGAGGAAUGCAGUCAGGACGGGGAGCGGAGGGAGAGGUCGGGACGAGACUCUACUCCUCCUUCUCCUCUCCGUGUGUGAUGACGUAGCAGAUGUUCUUGUAGUCGACAUUGCCGGCCACAUCUGGAGGGAAGGCAGUCCAGAGGUUCUUCAUCUGAGAGAGAGAGAGAGAGAGAG
rnacentral:lncRNA from 1 species